CUCUCUGGCUCUCUCUUUGUCUCUGUUCUUUUCUUUUGACCUUCCUUUUUACUCUCUUCUUUUAAUCCGCAAUAACAAUCUAAUCAGCUUCACAUCCAGUUCCAAAGGGAAAAAAUUGGGAAAUUUUUCAUCCUGAAUUUUGAUCUUAACCACAGUCACGGAGAUCUAAAUUUCUAACUUAUCAGCAACAAUGUCCUUUGCUUGGGAUUACCAUUUGCAAGGUGGCACUCUCCAUGAUGAUCCGUGGUUCUCAUUCAAUAGGAACAACCACAAUAAAAGGAGCAGGAGUAUGAACACAAAUAGGGACAACGAUUACAUUGCACCCUUAGUUGCACCCUUAGUUAUUCGAAUGCCAAUGAUAAGGUACGUAAUGUGUGAGCCGAGAGUCCUCCUCACUCGUUAUGAAUAUUUAGGAAUCGACUAACACCUCUUCGGAAUUAGAGUCCUAAUUCGAGGAGUGAGAAACCUAACAAAUACAUAACAAGUUAAACAAACAUAACAUCAAAUCAAUUCACUGUAUAGUCAUCCCAUCUUCUUAUGUCCUUGGGAAAUCCAAGAUGGUGAAAUAUUAAACGUUCAUUUUAUCAAUAAUAGGAACUAACAUCAUGACUUUAACCCCAAAAUUAUCAAUCUCAAAUUAUGAAGAGUACAUCGUUAAACCUGCUUAUCCUUAUUGAGGGACGAGGUGGGGUGUCUAACACCUUCCUCAUCCGUGCAUGGACCCCGAACUUUAAAUCUCUGUUUUUCGAGUGGUUCUCAUAAAUUUUUACAAAUGAUUUUUUUUUUAUUUCCCUUACAAUUAAAGUGGCGUCUCCUCACUUUUUCCACUUCGGUGAGAAUCGUCUGGCGACUGCAAAACCCUUGUGACAAAGUUAGUGUAAUAAAAUGAUUUUGUAGAAGUUGUAUCCAUUUAUCACUGAAUGUUGAAUUAUAUAAGUGCUGAAAUAGAAGUUUUAUAGCUUUGAUGUUGUAUUAUGCCAAUUGAAGAAAUGAAGGGAGGCAAUAAGUGUGAUUUGAGAAAUUAUAGGGACUAAAUAGGUAUGUAUUUUAAAAUUAUAGGGGCUAAAUAAUUGUCUUAUUCAA
rnacentral:misc_RNA from 1 species